AUGGACUUACACCUACUCAUUCGAAUCUUUGACACUGGAAGAGGAGUUUAUGAAGGAAACCUUGAGAACAUGACAUCCCUCAAGAAUAUCUUCAAGAGAAGGAAAUAUCUGGUUGCAGAUGAGGCACCUAAAUCCCCUACUCCAACUACCACUCCUGUCCAAAUGAAGGUGGCCACCGAGUUCAAAAUGGAACCUAGGGAAAGUGAAGCUUUAUCCGGGGGCAAUAAAAUGUGA